GUCAGCAUGCUUACCAAAGAGAAAUAAAAGUAGCAAGUCACAAACGGUAAUGGGAUGAGAUGGGUGUCACACCGGAAGAGAGGAAACCAGUGCCGCUGAGUAUAUGGGCAACCCUGAAGACUAAAGGAAGUGGCCCACAAAACCACGAUAGAGGGCUUUCAUCUCCUAAAAGAAAAGUAAUUGUCAAGUUAAUGUACUCCUCAAUCUUACUGUACACAGGGUGCCAUGUCAUCAUUACUACGAGCACAGAAA